AUUGAACGCUGGCGGCAGGCCUAACACAUGCAAGUCGAACGAGUGGAGGACGGGUGAGUAAUGUCUGGGAAACUGCCCGAUGGAGGGGGAUAACUACUGGAAACGGUAGCUAAUACCGCAUACCUUCGGAUGUGCCCAGAUGGGAUUAGCUAGAAGGAGGGGUAACGGCUCACCGAGGCGACGACCCCUAGCUGGUCUGAGAGGAUGACCAGCCACACUGGAACUGAAACACGGUCAGGAUUCCUACGGUAGGAAUCGGGGGGGAAUAUUGCACAAUGGGCGCAAGCCUGAUGCAGCCAGGCCGCGUGUAUGAAGAAGUCCUUCGGGUUGUAAAGUACUUUCAGCGAGGAGGCGUUACUCGCAGAAGAAGCACCGGCUAACUCCGUGCCAGCAGCCGCGGUAAUUC
rnacentral:rRNA from 1 species